UUCCAAAGUGCUGAGUUCUGUUCAGGGAAGUUCCCCCAUUCUGUUAGUUACACUUUGGGACAUUGAAAUUGGCUUGGGGAGAUGAUUAGAUAGAUAUAUUAUUCUAUUCACUCACCUUGGAGUCUACACUA
rnacentral:snoRNA from 1 species